CUACGGAGGGUGCGAGCGUUAAUCGGAAUUACUGGGCGUAAAGCGUACGUAGGCGGUUGGUUAAGUUAGAUGUGAAAGCCCCGGGCUUAACCUGGGAACUGCAUUUAAAACUGGCGAACUAGAGUUGAGUAGAGGGGAGUGGAAUUUCAGGUGUAGCGGUGAAAUGCGAAGAGAUCAGAAGGAACACCAGUGGCGAAGGCGACUCCCUGGACUCGAACUGACGCUGAGGUACGAAAGCGUGGGUAGCAAACGGGAUUAGAAACCCUAGUAGUCC
rnacentral:rRNA from 1 species